UGGCGACUUGUUCUCCAGAUUAACAGGCAGCAAUAAUAUGGGAAAGAUAUUUCGUCAGGCUUUGCCUCGCCAUCAGUCAAGUUACCUUUUUCAAAACCAGCAGUUCUGCAGAAGCAAUGAGAAAAAUGAACUUCUAGGUGGUGCUGAUAUACCUACAGUUUCUGAGCUCGCAAAUUCAUUUUGUCCUGCUCCUGUAACUUCCCUUUCAAGUAAUGAUCUUUUGGUGUAUCCAAAAGAUCAAAAUGGUGUACUUCAAUAUAAUAGGCCUUCUUAUCACCUUGAUAGUUUUGAAG
rnacentral:misc_RNA from 1 species